rnacentral:rRNA from 1 species
UGGGGAAUUUUGGACAAUGGGCGCAAGCCUGAUCCAGCCAUGCCGCGUGAGUGAAGAAGGCCUUCGGGUUGUAAAGCUCUUUCGGCGGGGAAGAAAUAGCGUGGGUUAAUACCCUGCGUUGAUGACGGUACCCGCAUAAGAAGCACCGGCUAACUACGUGCCAGCAGCCGCGGUAAUACGUAGGGUGCGAGCGUUAAUCGGAAUUACUGGGCGUAAAGCGUGCGCAGGCGGUUAUAUAAGUCAGAUGUGAAAUCCCCGGGCUCAACCUGGGAACUGCAUUUGAGACUGUAUGACUAGAGUGUGGCAGAGGGGGGUGGAAUUCCACGUGUAGCAGUGAAAUGCGUAGAGAUGUGGAGGAACACCGAUGGCGAAGGCAGCCCCCUGGGCCAAUACUGACGCUCAUGCACGAAAGCGUGGGGAGCAAACA